GCUUCGGUGGCGUAGUGGUAGUAGCAUGCGUUUCCGGUAUGGAUGAAAUGUGGGUUCGAUUCCCGCUUGAAGCC